GACGAACGCUGGCGGCGUGCUUAACACAUGCGAGUCGAACGGAAAGGCCCUGCUUUUGUGGGGUGCUCGAGUGGCGAACGGGUGAGUAACACGUGAGUAACCUGCCCUUGACUUUGGGAUAACUUCAGGAAACUGGGGCUAAUACCGGAUAGGAGCUCCUGCUGCAUGGUGGGGGUUGGAAAGUUUCGGCGGUUGGGGCUGGACUCGCGGCUUAUCAGCUUGUUGGUGGGGUAGUGGCUUACCAAGGCUUUGACGGGUAGCCCGCCUGGGAGGGUGACCGGCCACAGUGGGACUGAGGUACGGCCCAGGCUCCUACGGGGGGGAGGAGUGGGGAAUAUUGCACAAUGGGCGGAAGCCUGAUGCAGCAACGCCGCGUGCGGGAUGACUGCCUUCGGGUUGUAAACCGCUUUCGCCUGUGACGAAGCGUGAGUGACGGUAAUGGGUAAAGAAGCACCGGCUAACUACGUG
rnacentral:rRNA from 1 species